CAGAGUAGAAAAUGAAGCGUCAAGUGUCAAAAGAUGGGAUGUUGCUUUUGGACGAAGGGAACUUUAUCCGCGGUUUCGUUUUCGCAUUCGCUGC
rnacentral:ncRNA from 1 species